GUUUCGGGAUGAUAGACGAGUCCUUAGCACUAGGAGUUCGCUAUCCGGUCGAACGGCUUGAUACUCGGGACUGAGUAUGUAAACUAAACUAAUAUGACAAAUUGAUUAUCUGAAUUCGUUUGUGUGUUUAAUCUCAUUCUGGAGGGCCCUAUUUAUAGUAGUCCAGGGGUUUCCUUGAACUGACGUGACCGUUUGGCCAAACAGGAGGUCCGAACCGACGUGUCUCUUCGGUCUUGAACCGCCACCACGUGCCCUGUUUGGGCAAACAGAUCCGAACCAUCGUGUCUCUUCGGUCCUCAACCGCUGCCACGUCCAUUUGGGCAAACAUGUGGUCCGAACCAUCGUGUCUCUUCGGUCCUCAACCGCUGCCACGUCCGUUUGGGCAAACAGGUGGUCCGAACCAUGGAUAUCUUUGGGCAUUAAUUACUCAUUCAAUUCUUAAUAGAUUUGAACAAGUAAAUAUACCAAAUUAAUCUACUCAAAAUGUAGAUUCCAAAUAUACCAUUUAAUUCCAUUAAUUACAAAGUAAUUAUGGACUAAUAAAGCCAUUUAUUCCAACA
rnacentral:lncRNA from 1 species